GAGUUUGAUCAUGGCUCAGGAUGAACGCUGGCGGCGUGCCUAAUACAUGCAAGUCGAGCGAACCACUUCGGUGGUGAGCGGCGAACGGGUGAGUAACACGUAGGUAACCUGCCCAUGUGCCCGGGAUAACUUCUGGAAACGGAUGCUAAAACCGGAUAGGUAGCAGACAAGCAUUUGACUGCUAUUAAAGUGGCCUUGGCCAUGAACAUGGAUGGACCUGCGGUGCAUUAGCUGGUUGGUGAGGUAACGGCCACCAAGGCGACGAUGCAUAGCCGGCCUGAGAGGGCGGACGGCCACAUUGGGACUGAGACACGGCCCAAACUCCUACGGGAGGCAGCAGUAGGGAAUUUUCGUCAAUGGGGGGAACCCUGAACGAGCAAUGCCGCGUGAGUGAGGAAGGUCUUCGGAUCGUAAAGCUCUGUUGUAAGAGAAAAACGGCACUCAUAGGGAAUGAUGAGUGAGUGAUGGUAUCUUACCAGAAAGUCACGGCUAACUACGUGCCAGCCG
rnacentral:rRNA from 1 species